rnacentral:lncRNA from 1 species
UUGAUCCUGCUAAAAAAAAACAAAAAAAAACAACAAAAAAUGCCUGAACCGAGAAUGGAAAUAGAGGUUCGUGGUCUCCUGGGUAGAUUGAACUACGUGUCAUGGUUCAUAUCUCACCUAACAGCCACGUGGGAACCCAUUCAAGAAAAAGAGAUCAAACGGUCAGGUGAAAUAAUGAUUGCCAAGGGGCAUUGAAAAAAUAAAAAGAUUGAGUUGCAGGAACCUCCGAUUCUG